UGGGGAAUAUUGCACAAUGGGGGAAACCCUGAUGCAGCAACGCCGCGUGAAGGAUGAAGGUUUUCGGAUCGUAAACUUCUAUCAACAGGGACGAAACAAAUGACAGUACCUGAAUAAGAAGCCCCGGCUAACUACGUGCCAGCAGCCGCGGUAAUACGUAGGGGGCAAGCGUUAUCCGGAAUUACUGGGUGUAAAGGGAGCGUAGGCGGCACGUCAAGCCAGAUGUGAAAGCCCGGGGCUUAACCCCGUGGAUUGCAUUUGGAACUGGCGAGCUAGAGUACAGGAGAGGAAAGCGGAAUUCCUAGUGUAGCGGUGAAAUGCGUAGAUAUUAGGAAGAACACCAGUGGCGAAGGCGGCUUUCCGGACUGAAACUGACGCUGAGGCUCGAAAGCGUGGGGAGCAAACAGGAUUAGAUACCC
rnacentral:rRNA from 1 species